UACGGAGGGUGCAAGCGUUUGUCCGGAAUCACUGGGCGUAAAGGGCGCGUAGGCGGCUCAUGAAGGCUGUGGUGAAAGUCCGGGGCUCAACCUCGGAUCGGCCGUGGCGACUCGUGGGCUGGAGCACUGUAGAGGCGGGUGGAAUUCCGGGUGUAGCGGUGGAAUGCGUAGAGAUCCGGAAGAACACCAGUGGCGAAGGCGGCCCGCUGGGCAGUGGCUGACGCUGAGGAGCGAAAGCAUGGGGAGCGAACAGG
rnacentral:rRNA from 1 species